rnacentral:rRNA from 1 species
CCUACGGGAGGCAGCAGUGAGGAAUAUUGGUCAAUGGACGAGAGUCUGAACCAGCCAAGUAGCGUGAAGGAUGACUGCCCUAUGGGUUGUAAACUUCUUUUAUAUGGGAAUAAAACGUUCCACGUGUGGGAUUUUGUAUGUACCAUAUGAAUAAGGAUCGGCUAACUCCGUGCCAGCAGCCGCGGUAAUACGGAGGAUCCGAGCGUUAUCCGGAUUUAUUGGGUUUAAAGGGAGCGUAGAUGGAUUGUUAAGUCAGUUGUGAAAGUUUGCGGCUCAACCGUAAAAUUGCAGUUGAAACUGGCAGUCUUGAGUACAGUAGAGGUGGGCGGAAUUCGUGGUGUAGCGGUGAAAUGCUUAGAUAUCACGAAGAACUCCGAUUGCGAAGGCAGUUCACUGGACUGCAACUGACACUGAGGCUCGAAAGUGUGGGUAUCAAACAGGAUUAGAUACCCUUGUAGUC